UACGAAGGGGGCUAGCGUUGCUCGGAAUCACUGGGCGUAAAGCGCACGUAGGCGGUUUCUUAAGUCAGGGGUGAAAUCCUGGAGCUCAACUCCAGAACUGCCUUUGAUACUGAGGAGCUUGAGUCCGGGAGAGGUGAGUGGAACUGCGAGUGUAGAGGUGAAAUUCGUAGAUAUUCGCAAGAACACCAGUGGCGAAGGCGGCUCACUGGCCCGAUACUGACGCUGAGGCACGAAAAGCGUGGGGAGCAAACAGG
rnacentral:rRNA from 1 species